rnacentral:snoRNA from 9 species
GAGCUAUGAGGAUGAUACUCUCCUGUGAUGGGUGGGUCUAUCACUUUCAUCUGAUUCACAGAUGAUAAUGAGUGCUGCUGAGCUC